rnacentral:rRNA from 1 species
GAUGAACGCUGGCGGCGUGCUUAACACAUGCAAGUCGAACGGUGAACGAGGGAGCUUGCUCCCUCCGGAUCAGUGGCGAACGGGUGAGUAACACGUGAGCAAUCUGCCCUGGACUCUGGGAUAAGCGUUGGAAACGACGUCUAAUACCGGAUACGAGGCGUGGGGGCAUCCCCAACGCCUGGAAAGAACUUCGGUCCAGGAUGAGCUCGCGGCCUAUCAGGUAGUUGGUGAGGUAACGGCUCACCAAGCCUACGACGGGUAGCCGGCCUGAGAGGGUAACCGGCCACACUGGGACUGAGACACGGCCCAGACUCCUACGGGAGGCAGCAGUGGGGAAUAUUGCACAAUGGGCGCAAGCCUGAUGCAGCAACGCCGCGUGAGGGACGACGGCCUUCGGGUUGUAAACCUCUUUUAGCAGGGAAGAAGCGAAAGUGACGGUACCUGCAGAAAAAGCACCGGCUAACUACGUGCCAGCAGCCGCGGUAACAC